rnacentral:rRNA from 1 species
GGAUUAGAUACCCUGGUAGUCCACGCUGUAAACGAUGUCAACUAGCCGUUGGGGAUCUUGAAUCUUUAGUGGCGCAGCUAACGCACUAAGUUGACCGCCUGGGGAGUACGGCCGCAAGGUUAAAACUCAAAUGAAUUGACGGGGGCCCGCACAAGCGGUGGAGCAUGUGGUUUAAUUCGACGCAACGCGAAGAACCUUACCUGGCCUUGACAUGUUGGGAACUUUCCAGAGAUGGAUUGGUGCCUUCGGGAACCCAAACACAGGUGCUGCAUGGCCGUCGUCAGCUCGUGCCG